GGGCCCGCACAAGCGGUGGAGCAUGUGGUUUAAUUCGAUGAUACGCGAGGAACCUUACCAGGGCUUAAAUGUAAGUUGCAUAGAUCAGAGAUGGUCUUUUCUUCGGACUACUUACAAGGUGCUGCAUGGUUGUCGUCAGCUCGUGCCGUGAGGUGUCAGGUUAAGUCCUAUAACGAGCGCAACCCCUAUCGUUAGUUGCCAUCAAGUAAAGUUGGGAACUCUAGCGAAACUGCCGGUGCAAACCGAGAGGAAGGUGGGGAUGACGUCAAAUCAUCACGGCCCUUAUGUUCUGGGCUACACACGUGCUACAAUGGUCGGUACAGAGAGCAGCCACUACGCGAGUAGGAGCGAAUCUUCAAAGCCGGUCUCAGUUCGGAUCGCAGUCUGCAACUCGACUGCGUGAAGCUGGAAUCGCUAGUAAUCG
rnacentral:rRNA from 1 species